CUCUCGCUCUCUCUCUCACUUUCGAUUCCCAUCUCUUUUUCUCGUUGCACGUUACACGUUUUCAUACGCACUUUCUCCCUUUCUUUUUUCUCUCUUCUUUCACGUCGGACGUAUCUAAAAGAGGAUGAUUCGCCACGAGGACGAUCGUGCCGUGCUCAAUCAAGAAGGCAGGACGACGAAGGGGAGGAGCCGAUUGCCGCGACCGGCUUAACGCACGAAGAUUACCGCUGCGCUCUCGCAUCCCGUGAUAAAUAGCAAGAUUACGAGUCUGCGUGUCGGCCAAUGAACGAUGCCCUCAGCCCGUGGACCAUAUGUUCCUCCAAGGCUGUGGGACCCUCGCCAGGACUUGGACCGCGCGUUAACGCGCGGCGUUUCGAGCGGGGCCGCUUCAUCGCGACUACAUGUCGCGUCGUAUCGACCGCGCGACAUAAUAUCACUCAUAAAAAUGAGAAGCUACGAAAAUUGCGAAACGACGAUGACGUCAGUUAUUAAAAAUCGUUCGCUCAUCCGGUUGAGCCUGAAUCGGUUGAGUUUUUGAAGCCGAGACUGUAGAAAAAGAUUGCCUUUUCUUGCCGCCUUCUUUCAAUAAACUUUUAAUUUGGCUUGUCU